rnacentral:tRNA from 1 species
GCGAUGUUGGCUCAGUUGGUAGAGCGUUGGUCUCAUACCAUAAUAUGAUCUGUUUAAACAUCAGAGCAAUCCAAAGGUCGUGAGUUCGAGCCUCACACGUCGCA